CUUGAACCCAGGAGGCAGAGUUUGCAGUGAGCCAAGAUCCUGCCAUUACACUCCAACCUGGGCAACAAGAGCAAAACUCCGUCUUAAUAAAAAAAAAAAAAAAAAAAAGAACAAAGGGUAACCUAUUAGAAAGUAACAAGGGGCAGGGCGUGGUGGCUCAUGCCUGUAAGGCCCAGGCAGGCAGAUCAUGAGGUCAGGAGUUCGAGGCCAGCCUGACCAACAUGGUGAAACCCCAUCUCUACUAAAAUACAAAAAUUAGCUGGGCGUGGUGGCGCACGCCUGUAAUACCAGCUACUCAGGAGGCUGAGGCAGGAGAACCGCUUGAACCCAGGAGGCGGAGGUUGCAGUGAGCUGAAAUUGUGCCACUGCACUCCAGCGUGGGCGACAGAGUGAGACUCUGUCAAAAAAAAACAAAAAAAAAAAAAAGAAAGAAAGAAACAAGGGCUCGGGUGCAGUGGCUUACCCCUGUAAUCCCAGCACUUUGGGAGGCCCAGGCAGGCAGAUCACAAGCUCAAGACCAGCCAGACCAACAUGUUGAAACCCCGUCCCAACUAAAAAUACAAAAAUUCGCUGAGUAUGGUGGCAGACACCUGUAAUCCCAGCUACUUGGGAGGCUGGGGCAGGAGAAUUGGUUGAAUCCGGGAGGCAGAGGUUGCAGUAAGCCAAAAUCAUGCCACUGCACUCCAGCCUGGGUAACAGAGCAAGACUCCGUCUCAGAAAAAAAGAAAAAAAGAAAAAAGAAAAGAGAGUAACAAGGGAGGCCAUUUUAUAAAUGGGUGAGCAGGGAAGGUGACAUUGGAGCUGCGUGUUCCAAGCAGAGAGAAGAGCUAACAUGAAAGCUCUGAAGCAGGGCCCAGCUUGAGAUAAUCAAGAAACCAAGGCCGGGCGUGGUGGCUCAUACCUGUAAUCCCAGCACUUUGAGAGGCCGAGGCGGGCAGAUCACGAGGUAAGGAGAUCAAGACCAUCCUGGUUGACAUGGUGAAACCCUGUCUCUACUAAAAAUACAAAAAUUAGCUUGGGCAUGGUGGCGCGUGCCUGUAAUUCAAUCUACUCAGGAGGCUGAGGCAAUAGAAUCGCUUGAACCCGGGAGGCAGAGGGAGGUUGCAGCGAGCCAAGAUCGCGCCACUGCACUCCAGCCUGGGCAACAGAGCAAGACUCUAUCUCAAAAAAAAAAAAAAAACUACCUGGGCGUGGUGUCGCUUGCCUAUAAUCCCAGCUAUUCAGGAGGCUGAGGCAAGAGAAUUGCUUGAACCCAGGAGGUGGAGGUUGCAGUGAGCUGAGAUCGCGCCACUGCACUCCAGCCUGGCAACAGAACUAGACUCCGUCUCAAAAAAAGAAAAAGAAAUAAAGGAGGCCGUUUUAUAAAUGGGUGAGCAGGGAAGGUGACAUUGGAGCCACGUUCCAAGCCUCCUCAGUAGCUGGGACUACAGAUGCACGCCACCAUGCCUGUCAAGACUUUUUGUACUUUUAGUAGAGACAGGGUUUCGCCAUGUUGGCCAGGCUAGUCUGGAGCUCCUGACCUCGGUGAUCCACCCGCCUCAGCCUCCCAAAGUGCGAGGAUUACAGGCAUGAGCCACUGCGCCUAGCCUGAUUUAUACUUUUAAAAGAUCAUUCCAGCUCUGUGUGGAGAAUGGAUUAGAGGGCAGCCAGGGUUGAAAGCAGGGAGCCCAGAAGGGAAGUCACUGCAGCGUCCAGAUGAGGGAGGUGGCUUGGACUAGAGCAUGGUGGUGGAGAUGAAACACAGUGGCCAUGUACUAGCCUCAGUGACCACUUCCCCCUCCCCUUGGCAGCAUUUGACCCCUUGUCUAUCCUGUCCCCCAGCCCUAAUCACAGGAGGAACAGAUGUGUUUGUGUCAAUGUCCACGUCCCCAGAAGCCCAGGCUUGACUCAGGUCAGCUGAGGUCUGGACAUGGCCAUGCUGAGGCUCCAAGGGCUGAAUCAAUGAACGAGUGAAGGCACCUCCACUCUGCAGCCUCGUGUCUGAAGGCACAAAGAUAUCGGUAACUGAAAGAGAGAAAUGGGGCAGGAGGAGGAAGCUGGGGCAGAUGGUAGUGGUUUUAUGAAAAAGGCAAAAUUACAGCAGUGGUUACAAGAAAUCAGGGCAAAGUGCAGCAUCUACCUAGAUGUCCCAAUCUGGGUGUCCCCAUGUAGGUUGGGACCUCACCUCUGCCCUGAAAAUGGCCCCACAGAGGCAGGGAUGGCACUGGGAGAUGGUGCAGGCGCCAAUGGGUGUGGCAACCUGGAGGGCAAAGCACUUCUGGAGGAGUAUGAAAACCAGGGUGGAGAAGGAAGUCUUGGGAAGGCAACUCUUCUAGAAAGAAUCUGAGACAGACAGGUAGGAGCCGUGGACCUGCCCUACCUAGAGGGCUCAGGCUCUGAAACAUCUCCAGCCAGCAGGAGAAUUAGGGCUGGGGCCAGGGAAGAGCAAAGCAACUGGGCUAAUGGGGUUAAGAAACUCCUAGGGUCAGCCGGGCAUGGUGGCUUUCACCUGUAAUCCCAGCACUUUGGGAGGCCGAGGUGGGCGGAUCACCUGAGGUCGGGAGUUCAAGACCAGUCUGACCAACAUGGAGAAACCCCGUCUCUACUAAAAAUACAAAAUUAGCCGGGCAUGGUGGCGCAUGCCUGUAAUCCCAGCUGCUCAGGAGGCUGAGGCAGGAGAAUCACUUGAACCCAAGAGGUGGAAAAUUGCUUGAACCCAGGAGGCGGAGUUGCAGUGAGCCGAGAUCACACCAUUGCACACCAGCCUGAGCAACAAGAGCGAAACUCUGCUAAAAAAAAAAAAAAAAGAAGGAAACUCCUAGGGUCGGCUACAGAUGCCACCUUUCUACCAGCCAGGUGACAUAGUCCAGUAAGAGGUGGAUAGCAGACGAGCUGAGACAGCUCACCUCCAUCCUGUCAAUUCCCAAAGGGCCCCUCUUUACCCCUGGGCCAAGGUUCAGGCUUUAGGCCCCUCUCCCCAAAUUAGGGAUCAUGGAGCAGCUUCUUUACCCUUCUACAGGUUUUGCCCCACGAGUCUAGUCCUCAGGCCGAGCUAUGAUCUUUCCAGAGUCCCACUGUCCUUGAGACAGAACUCAAGUUCCUGACCUGGCUGCCCAAGUCCACCUUGAUCUGUCCUCACCUAUAUCUCUGCUUCCCCUGUGCCCAUUCAACAUGCCUGCCAUUUAGCAAACCCACCCUGAUCUUUGGGCAUACUGUCCCUUCUCUCUGAGAUGUCUCAAAGGAUAGAAAGCAGAGGAACAGAAAGAGCUUUCUAGGCAGGGAAAGAAGCAGAAGAAGGAAGGAGACCAAGGGCAGUGUCCAGCAGAGCAGGGCUUAGUGUAGGUGAGAGAGGAGGGGCACGGCCGAAGUGCUGGGGGAUACAAGCCUGCACCCCUCCUGUGGGUGAUGGGCACCAGGGGAGGUUGUGGAGCAGGAGACUGGCAUGGCUGGAGCCUGGGUAUGCACAGUCAAGCCAGCCCUGCUCUCAACAGGCUCCAAACCCCACCCUCACGAUGACGCCCAGAAACCACACAGACGAGGAGCUGUUUCUUGACUGUUAGUUGGGCCUUGGCCUAUGUCAUACCCAUGGGCUGCCACAUGGGGGUGGAGGGAUCAGGACGAAGAGAGGGGACCAGA
rnacentral:lncRNA from 1 species